ensembl:lncRNA
ACAAUGGCAUCUUCCAGCGUCUGUGUCAGCAUGCUUGUGCUAGGUCAGAACAAUGGCUGCUGCCAAAGUCUCAGUCCCUGGAGAGGUUUCACCUCUCACUGAGAUGCGCCCAGAGCCUAUCAGCACACAAAAUCCACUGCUAAUGUUGCCAGUAAGAGGCUACAUUGACUGACCUGGAAGCAAAAUUAAAAGUGAUUAAGGGCUACAAAGGUGGAAAAAUCAGUGAUGGUUGUUGCCUGUCAGUCCCAUUCCACCGUAACUACAAUCAAGAACAAGAACAAAGUAGUGGAAGCUGUUAAAGGAUCUGCUUCAUUGAAAACAAUGAGACUAACAAAAAUUUGAGAAGGGCCUAUAUUAGACAUGGAGAAACUUCUAAUAACAUGGAUUGAAGACCAGAUACAGAAGUGUAUCCCUCCCUGCACCAUGAUGAUCACGGCCAAAGCAAAAAAGUUUGUUUUCACUGUCUAAAGAAAAGGCUGGAUCCAACUACAAUGUUGAAUUUACUGCUAGCUCUGGAUGUUUUAAAUGAUUCAAGAAUCUUUAUUAAUUAUGUAAUUGAAAGUGAGUAGUGAGUCUGUGAGUGCUGGUAUGAAGGCAGCUGAAGAAGUUAUGGAAACCCCAGAUAAGCUGAUUUUGGAGGAAAAUUACUUGUCAUAGCAAAUGUUCAACAGGGAUGAAAACUCCCUAUUCUAGACAUGGAUGCAGAAAGGACUGGAAGGUCUGGAAAGGACUUUCAUCCAUUAGGAGGCCAAGUCAAUGCCGAGUUUCAAGGCUUUUAAGGACAGGAUAACAGUCUUGCUCUGGGGCAAUGUUGCAGGCUACGAAUUGAAAUGCUUUGUGAUCUGGCACAGUGAGAACCCCAGGGCCUUCAGGCAUAUCUAUAAGCACACACUGCCUGUGGACUACAGGAGCAAUAAGAAGUCGUGGAUGACCCAGCUCCUCUUCUAGGAUGCCCUCCUGAAUUGCUAUACCAGCGAAAUAGAGAAGUACUAUUUGGAGAAUAACAUAACUUUCAAGAUUUUGCUUAUUGUUGAUAAUGCUCCUAGACAUUCUUCUUUUAUUGGUGAUCUUCAUCCCAACAUAAAGCAGUGUUUCUCCCUCCAAACACCACCUUUUUGAUCCAACCAAUGGAUCAAGGAGUUAUGGCAGCUUUUAAGGUCUCCUACCUGAAGAGGCCCGUUGCCCAGGCUGUUGCCGCAAUGGAGGAAAACACUGAGUAGUCACUGAUGCAAUUCUGGAAGGAUUACAACGUUUAUGAGUGCACCAAGUACCUUGCUUAGACUUAAGGUGAUGUCACCAAGGAGUCUGUGAAUGGCAUCUGGAAGAAGACACUCAAGAGGUUCGUCCAUGACUUCAAAGGAUUUUUUAAGGAUGAAGUUUCAAAAAUCAACAAGGCUGUAGUUGAGACGGCAAACGACUUGAACCUAGGUGUGGAUAAGUAUGAUAUUGAGGAGCUCCUAGAGGUGGUGUCUGAGGAAUUGACUAAUGAGGAGUCACUGAAGCUGGAACAGGAGCACAAGGGCAAAGGACACUGCAGGAGGAGAAAAAGAAGACCCUCCAAGAAAAUCUGCAGUGAAUAGUUAGCGGAACCUUUUGUAGACCUCACGGAGCUCCUUAAAAAGUUUGAAAAUGCAUGCCAACAGCGAAAGGUUUUCAUAAAUAGAGAUGAAUGUUCACGGUGCACUAUCUGUUGAUAAGCAAUUCUAUGAUGAAAAGAAGAAACAAGCCAAGCAAACCACCGUGGUCACAUUUUGAAAAGAGUGACACCUCCUCAAGAAGAGCCUCAGGCUGGUCCUUGAGGAGGUGUUCCAGAAGAAGCUAUUGUUGUCAUAGGAGGUGACAGCUCCGAUAUGUGUUGUUGCCCCUGAAGACCUUCCAGGGGACAAGAUAUGGAGGGGGAGGAUAGUGAUAUUGACCAUUCUGUCCCUAUGUAGACCUGUGUUAAUGCAUGUGUUUGUAUCUUAGUUUUUAACAAAAAAGUUUAAAAAGUAAAAAGAAAAUUUCAAACAGAAGAAAGCUUAUAGAAUAAGGGUACAAAGAAAGAAAAUAUUUUUGUACAACUGCACAAUGUGUUUGUGUUUUAAGCUAAGUGUUAUUACUAGAGUCAAAACGUUAAAAAAUUAAAAAGUUUAUAAAGUAAAAAGGUUACAGUAAGCUAGAGUUAAUUUAUUAUCGAAGAAAGAGAAACAUUUUUAAACAAAUUGGGUGUAGCCUAAGUGUACAGUGUCUACGAAGUCUACACUAGUGUGCAGUAAGGUCCUGGAGCUUCACAUUCACUCACCACUCACUUGCUGACUCCCUUCAUGGUCUAAUCAUGGUAAGCGUCCUAAAGAAGUGCACUAUUUUUUUUAUAUUAUAUUUUUACUGUAACUUUUCUAUGUUUGGAUAGACAAAUACUUACCGUUGUGUAACAAUUGCCUGCAGUAUUCAGUACAGUAACAUGCUGUUCAGGUUUGUAGCCUGGGAGCAAUAGGCUACACCGUAGAGCCUGGUGUGUAGUGGGCGCUACCAUCUAGGUUCGUGUAAGAGCACUCUGUGACGUUCCAUUUCUCAGAACGCAUCCCCAUUGUUUAGCAAUGUGUCCCUGUAAUAGUUUAUAGGUUGUUUUUAUAAUGAGCUUUUGAUAUACCAAGUCCUGUC